AUUGAACGCUGGCGGCAGGCCUAACACAUGCAAGUCGAACGAGUGGCGGACGGGUGAGUAAUGUCUGGGAAACUGCCUGAUGGAGGGGGAUAACUACUGGAAACGGUAGCUAAUACCGCAUACCAUCGGAUGUGCCCAGGUGGGAUUAGCUAGGAGGUGGGGAAACGGCUCACCUAGGUGACGAUCCCUAGCUGGUCUGAGAGGAUGAACAGACCAACUUGCACUGAGACACGGUCCAGACGCCUACGUGAGGCAGCAGUGGGGAAUAUUGCACAAUGGGCGCAAGCCUUAUGCAGCCAUGCCGCGUGUAUGAAGAAGGCCUUCGGGUUUUAAAGUACUUUCAGCGGGGAGGCGUUACCCGCAGAAGAAGCACCGGCUAACUCCGUGCCAGCAGCCGCGGUAAUUC
rnacentral:rRNA from 1 species